AAAUCCCAAGCAUGCAUUGCAAACAGUGUGCAAAACCCAAAGAGCACCUGCAAACCCCAAAAUGCAGCAGCAAACCCAGAGCUCAGGUUGCAAACACCCUGCAAACCCAAAUUGCAGCUGCAAACCCCAAACCCAGGUGCAAACCCUGCAAGCACCCUGCAGACCCCAAAUGCACCUGCAAACCCCAAACCCAGCUGCAAAUCCCAAGCAUGCAUUUGCAAACACUGUGCAAAACCCAAAAAGCACCUGCAAACCCCAAAAUGCAGCUGCAAACCCAGAGCUCGGGUUGCAAACAACCUGCAAACCCCAAAAUGCAGCUGCAAACCCCAAACCCAGUUGCAAACACCGUGCAAACACCCUGCAGACCACAAAAUGCAGCUGCAAGCCCCAAACCCAGCUGCAAAUCCCAAGCAUGCAUUGCAAACACUGUGCAGAACCCAAAGAGCAGCUGCAAACCCCAAACCCAGUUGCAAACCCAGAGCUCAGGUUGCAAACACCCUGCAGACCCCAGAAUGCAGCUGCAAACCCCAAACCCAGCUGCAAAUCCCAAGCAUGCAUUGCAAACACUGUGCAAAACCCACAGAGCACCUGCAAACCCCAAACCCAUCUGCAAACCCAGAGCUCAGGUUGCAAACACCCUGCAGCCCCCAAAAUGCAGCUGCAAACCCCAAACCCAUUUGCAACCCCCCCCUUUGCACACACUGCAAACAACCCACGCCAUCCUGCAGCAGUUUAAUGCCAGCAUUGCACAGCAUGGAGCUCCUGCAACCCCCCAACCCCCCCCAAAUCCCCCCCCCCCCCCCCAUCCCAUAUAGGGCGGCCCCGUCCCAUAUAGGGCAGCCCCAUCCCACCCCAUAGAAGCCCUAUGGAGAGCUCUGUGGGUUUUGCCCCACUGCUGUGGGUCCGCCUGAUGAAACCUGGAUGGGGGAUGGGGGUGGGGGGGGGAACAAAAACUGCUUUGGGAUUGCUGGCAUUCCACCCCAUUUAUCCCCCAUAUAUCCCCCCCUAUACCCCAUAUCCCUCCCCACACCCUAUA
rnacentral:lncRNA from 1 species